rnacentral:rRNA from 1 species
GAUGAACGCUGGCGGCGUGCCUAAUACAUGCAAGUCGAGCGAACAGACGAGGAGCUUGCUCCUCUGACGUUAGCGGCGGACGGGUGAGUAACACGUGGAUAACCUACCUAUAAGACUGGGAUAACUUCGGGAAACCGGAGCUAAUACCGGAUAAGAUGUUGAACCGCAUGGUUCAUCAGUGAAAGACGGUCUUGCUGUCACUUAUAGAUGGAUCCGCGCCGCAUUAGCUAGUUGGUAAGGUAACGGCUUACCAAGGCAACGAUGCGUAGCCGACCUGAGAGGGUGAUCGGCCACACUGGAACUGAGACACGGUCCAGACUCCUACGGGAGGCAGCAGUAGGGAAUCUUCCGCAAUGGGCGAAAGCCUGACGGAGCAACGCCGCGUGAGUGAAGAAGGUCUUCGGAUCGUAAAACUCUGUUAUUAGGGAAGAACAAAUGUGUAAGUAACUAUGCACGUCUUGACGGUACCUAAUCAGAAAGCCACGGCUAACUACGUG